rnacentral:rRNA from 1 species
CCUACGGGAGGCAGCAGUGGGGAAUAUUGGACAAUGGGGGGAACCCUGAUCCAGCGACGCCGCGUGAGUGAAGAAGUAUUUCGGUAUGUAAAGCUCUAUCAGCAGGGAAGAAAGAAAUGACGGUACCUGACUAAGAAGCCCCGGCUAACUACGUGCCAGCAGCCGCGGUAAUACGUAGGGGGCAAGCGUUAUCCGGAUUUACUGGGUGUAAAGGGAGCGUAGACGGCGAUGCAAGCCAGAUGUGAAAGCCCGGGGCUCAACCCCGGGACUGCAUUUGGAACUGUGUGGCUGGAGUGUCGGAGAGGCAGGCGGAAUUCCUAGUGUAGCGGUGAAAUGCGUAGAUAGUAGGAGGAACACCAGUGGCGAAGGCGGCCUGCUGGACGAUGACUGACGUUGAGGCUCGAAAGCGUGGGGAGCAAACAGGAUUAGAUACCCGGGUAGUC